GUAAGUGUCUAAGGGCGCAUGGUGGAUGCCUUGGCAUCGAGAGCCGAUGAAGGACGUGGGAGGCUGCGAUAUGCCUCGGGGAGCUGUCAACCGAGCGUGGAUCCGAGGAUUUCCGAAUGGGGAAACCCAGCACGAGUGAUGUCGUGCUACCCGCAUCUGAAUAUAUAGGGUGCGGGAGGGAACGCGGGGAAGUGAAACAUCUCAGUACCCGUAGGAGGAGAAAACAAUUGUGAUUCCGCAAGUAGUGGCGAGCGAACGCGGAACAGGCUAAACCGCACGCAUGGGUAACCGGGUAGGGGUUGUGUGUGCGGGGUUGUGGGAGGAUAUGUCUCAGCGCUACCCGGCUGAGAGGCAGUCAGAAAGUGUCGUGGUUAGCGGAAGUGGCCUGGGAUGGUCUGCCGUAGACGGUGAGAGCCCGGUACGCGAAAACCCGGCACCUGCCUAGUAUCAAUUCCCGAGUAGCAGCGGGCCCGUGGAAUCCGCUGUGAAUCCGCCGGGACCACCCGGUAAGCCUAAAUACUCCUCGAUGACCGAUAGCGGAUUAGUACCGUGAGGGAAUGGUGAAAAGUACCCCGGGAGGGGAGUGAAAGAGUACCUGAAACCGUGUGCCUACAAUCCGUCAGAGCCUCCUUUUCCUCUCCGGAGGAGGGUGGUGAUGGCGUGCCUUUUGAAGAAUGAGCCUGCGAGUCAGGGACAUGUCGCAAGGUUAACCCGUGUGGGGUAGCCGCAGCGAAAGCGAGUCUGAAUAGGGCGACCCACACGCGCAUACGCGCGUGUGAAUAGUGGCGUGUUCUGGACCCGAAGCGGAGUGAUCUACCCAUGGCCAGGGUGAAGCGCGGGUAAGACCGCGUGGAGGCCCGAACCCACUUAGGUUGAAGACUGAGGGGAUGAGCUGUGGGUAGGGGUGAAAGGCCAAUCAAACUCCGUGAUAGCUGGUUCUCCCCGAAAUGCAUUUAGGUGCAGCGUUGCGUGGUUCACCGCGGAGGUAGAGCUACUGGAUGGCCGAUGGGCCCUACUAGGUUACUGACGUCAGCCAAACUCCGAAUGCCGUGGUGUAAAGCGUGGCAGUGAGACGGCGGGGGAUAAGCUCCGUACGUCGAAAGGGAAACAGCCCAGAUCGCCGGCUAAGGCCCCCAAGCGUGUGCUAAGUGGGAAAGGAUGUGCAGUCGCAAAGACAACCAGGAGGUUGGCUUAGAAGCAGCCACCCUUGAAAGAGUGCGUAAUAGCUCACUGGUCAAGUGAUUGUGCGCCGAUAAUGUAGCGGGGCUCAAGCACACCGCCGAAGCCGCGGCACAUCCACCUUGUGGUGGGUGUGGGUAGGGGAGCGUCCCUCAUUCAGCGAAGCCACCGGGUGACCGGUGGUGGAGGGUGGGGAGUGAGAAUGCAGGCAUGAGUAGCGACAAGGCAAGUGAGAACCUUGCCCGCCGAAAGACCAAGGGUUCCUGGGCCAGGCCAGUCCGCCCAGGGUGAGUCGGGACCUAAGGCGAGGCCGACAGGCGUAGUCGAUGGACAACGGGUUGAUAUUCCCGUACCCGUGUGUGGGCGCCCGUGACGAAUCAGCGGUACUAACCACCCAAAACCGGAUCGAUCACUCCCCUUCGGGGGUGUGGAGUUCUGGGGCUGCGUGGGAACUUCGCUGGUAGUAGUCAAGCGAAGGGGUGACGCAGGAAGGUAGCCGUACCAGUCAGUGGUAACACUGGGGCAAGCCGGUAGGGAGAGCGAUAGGCAAAUCCGUCGCUCACUAAUCCUGAGAGGUGACGCAUAGCCGGUUGAGGCGAAUUCGGUGAUCCUCUGCUGCCAAGAAAAGCCUCUAGCGAGCACACACACGGCCCGUACCCCAAACCGACACAGGUGGUCAGGUAGAGCAUACCAAGGCGUACGAGAUAACUAUGGUUAAGGAACUCGGCAAAAUGCCCCCGUAACUUCGGGAGAAGGGGGACCGGAAUAUCGUGAACACCCUUGCGGUGGGAGCGGGAUCCGGUCGCAGAAACCAGUGAGGAGCGACUGUUUACUAAAAACACAGGUCCGUGCGAAGUCGCAAGACGAUGUAUACGGACUGACGCCUGCCCGGUGCUGGAAGGUUAAGAGGACCCGUUAACCCGCAAGGGUGAAGCGGAGAAUUUAAGCCCCAGUAAACGGCGGUGGUAACUAUAACCAUCCUAAGGUAGCGAAAUUCCUUGUCGGGUAAGUUCCGACCUGCACGAAUGGCGUAACGACUUCUCAACUGUCUCAACCAUAGACUCGGCGAAAUUGCACUACGAGUAAAGAUGCUCGUUACGCGCGGCAGGACGAAAAGACCCCGGGACCUUCACUACAACUUGGUAUUGAUGUUCGGUACGGUUUGUGUAGGAUAGGUGGGAGACUGUGAAACCUCGACGCCAGUUGGGGCGGAGUCGUUGUUGAAAUACCACUCUGAUCGUAUUGGGCAUCUAACCUCGAACCCUGAAUCGGGUUUAGGGACAGUGCCUGGCGGGUAGUUUAACUGGGGCGGUUGCCUCCUAAAAUGUAACGGAGGCGCCCAAAGGUUCCCUCAACCUGGACGGCAAUCAGGUGGCGAGUGUAAAUGCACAAGGGAGCUUGACUGCGAGACUUACAAGUCAAGCAGGGACGAAAGUCGGGAUUAGUGAUCCGGCACCCCCGAGUGGAAGGGGUGUCGCUCAACGGAUAAAAGGUACCCCGGGGAUAACAGGCUGAUCUUCCCCAAGAGUCCAUAUCGACGGGAUGGUUUGGCACCUCGAUGUCGGCUCGUCGCAUCCUGGGGCUGGAGCAGGUCCCAAGGGUUGGGCUGUUCGCCCAUUAAAGCGGCACGCGAGCUGGGUUUAGAACGUCGUGAGACAGUUCGGUCUCUAUCCGCCGCGCGCGUCAGAAACUUGAGGAAACCUGUCCCUAGUACGAGAGGACCGGGACGGACGAACCUCUGGUGCACCAGUUGUCCCGCCAGGGGCACCGCUGGAUAGCCACGUUCGGUCAGGAUAACCGCUGAAAGCAUCUAAGCGGGAAACCUUCUCCAAGAUCAGGUUUCUCACCCACUUGGUGGGAUAAGGCCCCCCGCAGAACACGGGUUCAAUAGGUCAGACCUGGAAGCUCAGUAAUGGGUGUAGGGAACUGGUGCUAACCGGCCGAAAACUUACAACA
rnacentral:rRNA from 1 species